CGGAUUGCAGGCUGCAACCCGCCUGCAUGAAGCCGGAAUCGCUAGUAAUCGCGGAUCAGAAUGCCGCGGUGAAUACGUUCCCGGGUCUUGUACACACCGCCCGUCACACCAUGGGAGCCGGGAAUGCCCGAAGUCAGUGGCCCAACCGAAAGGGGGAGCUGCCGAAGGCAGGCCUGGUGACUGGGGUGAAGUCGUAACAAGGUAGC
rnacentral:rRNA from 1 species